rnacentral:lncRNA from 1 species
GUUUUUCUAAUGUAUGACUAGAAAUUCUAAGGAGCCAUUAGCAGAAUCUUAUCCGAAACCUGAAUGAACUUUUCAUUCAAGAAGAAGAGCAAACUAUAAACUCAACAUACGCAUGUCACCUUGCGUGUAAACAGGAGCCGCACACUGUGCGUGUGCCGUUUGUGCAAUAGGCCUGCGCGGAUAGGCCCCUAUGCACCUGGGGCCUGCGUACAGUAGACCUACACACGUGGCAGGUGGCCUGUACAUCUGCAGUGCAUCGCUGUCGCCUCGAGCGACGCACUGCCGUCGCCAGCAAAGGAGGCCUUUUUCUCUCAUUUUUCCUACCGAGCAUCUUUCUCCCUCUCUUUUCACUAGAUUUCACCACUUGGCACAAAUCCAACGGUUUAAAUUUUCUAUAAAUAGGUCUUCCCUUCCCACUCUUCUCCACACUUUUAUUUUUCU